AGAUUUUUGACCAAAAUAAUCCCAUACAUAUGGGAAGGAUACCUUAACAACAGUUCCUGCAUCAAACCCAGGAAUUAUUUUUUUUGUCUCCUCACAGAUCCAAUUUUAUUGCAGAAAAAGUGAAGAGACACAGGUGAAAGAGGGAGAAAAAUAAACAGAAUGUGUAGAAAACAAGCAUUGAAUGCUUAAAAACAAGAAUAAGAGUGCCUUGAAAGGAGACAAAAGAGUCAGCUCGUGGAGUGAAGCCCAGAGCAGAAAUGGUUCCCAGUCGAGGACACUGGGUCCUUCUUCUUCAGUGGCCUUCAUCACUGGGGCUACAGCCCAGGGGUCAGGAGCCAGCCAGCCUGUCCACACGUACUUCUUGUGCACCUGCUCCUAGGCCCUGUCCAAGAAUGAGUCCAGACUUGGAGACUCAGUGAGAGGCUCCUCUAAUCCCUUCAAAGCAACCCUCUGCCAGCUGUUAAAGCAUGCCGAGUUGUGUUGUGCAAACCAAGCUCCCUUAAACCACUCUCCAGCCAUGUUGGCACCCAACUACUCAGCAGUGCAUAAACAAGCAAGGAUAAGGCCCCACCCCAAGCAGUUUUCUAGCCCACAAAUCUCUGGCAAGACUAGGGAAGCAGCCUUUCCCAAGAGGACACUGCUUACUGUAGAAAAAGUCACAUUUCUCUAGACUGGCUUCCAGUCAAUAGCCAGGGCUGGGAAUCAAGAGAUGUGAGCUCUGUCCCAUCUCUGCCCUAUCUCUGUGCCACUGUGUAGCCCUGGGCAGAUCAACUUCCAUUCAUUCUGUCAAGAAUCUAUCUAUAUGCUGAAAGGUGCUGUCCAUCUCCAGAGAAAGAACUGGGGGAGCCUGAAUGCAGAUUUUUCUUUACUUUCUUUAUUUUGGGGUUAGUUUUUUUGUCAGUGUUUUCUUUCACAGCGUGAUUUACAUGGAAAUGUGUUUUGCGUGACCACACAAGUAUAACCUAUGUCAAACUGCUUGCCUUCUCGGUGGGGGCAGGGGAGGGGAUGUUGGAAAGGAAAGAAUUUGGAACUCAAAAUUUGAAAAAAAAAAAGUUAAAAUUGUUUUUACAUGUAAUUAGGGGGAAAAUAAAAUAUUAAACAAAAAAAAGAAUUUAUCUACA
rnacentral:lncRNA from 1 species